GGGCGAUUGGUCUAGAGGUAUGAUUCGUGUUUCGGGUGGGAAACCCCUCACACUCUGUGUGGAGAAUAUACGAGGUCCCGGGUUCGAAUCCCGGAUCGCCCC